rnacentral:piRNA from 1 species
UGGGCAAUGCGCAAUCAGAAACCUGUAUUG